rnacentral:rRNA from 1 species
UCCAGGAAAAACUUCUAAGCUUCAGGUAAUGUGAGACCGUACCCCAAACCGACACAGGUGGGUAGGUAGAGAAUACCAAGGCGCUUGAGAGAACUCGGGUGAAGGAACUAGGCAAAAUGGUACCGUAACUUCGGGAGAAGGUACACCGCUGAUGGUGAUGAGACUUGCUCUCUAAGCUGUUGGUGGUCUAAGAAACCAGAUGGCUGCGACUGUUUAAUUAAAAACAUAGCACUCUGACAAAACACGAAAGUGGACGUAUACGGUGUGACGCCUGCCCGGUGCCGGAAGGUUAAUUGAUGGGGUUAUCUUCGGAGAAGCUCUUGAUCGAAGCCCCGGUAAACGGCGGCCGUAACAAUAACGGUCCUAAGGUAGCGAAAUUCCUUGUCGGGUAAGUUCCGACCUGCACGAAUGGCGUAAUGAUGGCCACGCUGUCUCCACCCGAGACUCAGUGAAAUUGAAAUCGCAGUGAAGAUGCUGUGUAUCCGCGGCUAGACGGAAAGACCCCGUGAACCUUUACUACAGCUUCACACUGGACCUUGAUGUUAUUUGUGUAGGAUAGCUGGGAGGCUUUGAAGCAGGAACGCCAGUUUCUGUGGAGCCAAUCUUGAAAUACCAGCCUGAUAACAUUGGGGUUCUAACUCCGCGCCAUAACCUGGCGUGAGGACAGUGUGUGGUGGGUAGUUUGACUGGGGCGGUCUCCUCCCAAAGAGUAACGGAGGAGUACGAAGGUUGGCUAAGCACGGUCGGACAUCGUGCGGUUAGUAUAAUGGUACAAGCCAGCUUGACUGCGAGAGAUACAACUCGAGCAGGUACGAAAGUAGGUCAUAGUGAUCCGGUGGUUCUGUAUGGAAGGGCCAUCGCUCAACGGAUAAAAGGUACUCCGGGGAUAACAGGCUGAUACCGCCCAAGAGUUCACAUCGACGGCGGUGUUUGGCACCUCGAUGUCGGCUCAUCACAUCCUGGGGCUGAAGCCGGUCCCAAGGGUAUGGCUGUUCGCCAUUUAAAGUGGUACGCGAGCUGGGUUUAGAACGUCGUGAGACAGUUCGGUCCCUAUCUGCCGUGGACGUUGGAAGUUUGAGAAGAGCUGCUCCUAGUACGAGAGGACCGGAGUGAACGAACCACUGGUGUUCCGGUUGUUUCGCCAGAAGCAUUGCCGGGUAGCUACGUUCGGACGGGAUAACCGCUGAAAGCAUCUAAGCGGGAAGCCCCCUUCAAGAUGAGACUUCCCAGGACUAUAAGUCCCUGAAGAGCCGUUCAAGACCAGGACGUUGAUAGGCUGGGUGUGUAAGCGUUGUGAGGCGUUGAGCUA